UACAGAGGUCCCGAGCGUUGUUCGGAUUCACUGGGCGUAAAGGGUGCGCAGGUGGUUUGGCAAGUUUGAUGUGAAAGCCCCGGGCUUAACCCGGGAAUGGCAUUGAAUACUGCUUGAACUGGAGGGUCGGAGGGGGGACUGGAAUUCUUGGUGUAGCAGUGAAAUGCGUAGAUAUCAAGAGGAACACCAGUGGCGAAGGCGAGUCCCUGGACGAUACCUGACACUGAGGCACGAAAGCCAAGGGAGCAAACAGG
rnacentral:rRNA from 1 species